rnacentral:rRNA from 1 species
UACGUAGGGGGCUAGCGUUGUCCGGAUGUAUUGGGCGUAAAGAGCGUGUAGGCGGCCAGAUAGGGCUGCUGUGAAAACUCGAGGCUCAACCUCGAGCUGUCGGCGGAAACCAUCUGGCUAGAGUCCGGGAGAGGAGAGUGGAAUUCCUGGUGUAGCGGUGAAAUGCGCAGAUAUCAGGAGGAACACCGGUGGCGAAGGCGGGUCUCUGGGCCGAUACUGACGCUGAGGAGCGAAAGCGUGGGGAGCGAACAGG